rnacentral:rRNA from 1 species
UACAGAGGUCCCAAGCGUUGUUCGGAUUCACUGGGCGUAAAGGGUGCGUAGGUGGCAUGGUAAGUCGGAUGUGAAAUCUCCGAGCUCAACUCGGAAAUGGCAUUGGAAACUGCCGUGCUCGAGGGUUGGAGGGGGGACUGGAAUACUUGGUGUAGCAGUGAAAUGCGUAGAUAUCAAGUGGAACACCAGUGGCGAAGGCGAGUCCCUGGACAACUCCUGACACUGAGGCACGAAAGCUAGGGGAGCAAAC